rnacentral:rRNA from 1 species
UGCAGUUAAAGCUCGUAGUCGGAUGUCGGGCUCGGGCAGGCUGUCGGCUUCGGUCGGACGGCAGGCUCGGGUCUUUCUGCCUGAGGAUCCCGUUGCACUUAAUUGUGGGGCGUGGGGACGCAGGCCGUUUACUUUGAAAAAAUUAGAGUGUUCAAAGCAGGCCUACGUUUGAAUACAUUAGUAUGGAAUAAUGGAAUAGGACUUUGGUGCUAUUUUGUUGGUUUAUGGGACCGAAGUAAUGAUUAACAGGGACAGUUGGGGCCGUUUAUAUUUCGUUGUCAGAGGUGAAAUUCUUGGAUUUACGAAAGAUAAACUUCUGCGAAAGCAUUCGGCAAGGAUGUUUUCAUUGAUCAAGAACGAAAGUUAGGGGAUCGAAGACGAUCAGAUACCGUCGUAGUCUUAACCAUAAACUAUGCCGACUAGGGAUCAGUGGAUGUCAAUUUGCGACUCCAUUGGCACCUUGUGAGAAAUCAAAGUUUUUGGGUUCCAGGGGGAGUAUGGUCGCAAGGCUGAAACUUAAAGGAAUUGACGGAAGGGCACCACCAGGCGUGGAGCUUGCGGCUCAAUUUGACUCAACACGGGAAAACUUACCAGGUCCAGACAUAGUGAGGAUUGACAGAUUGAUAGCUCUUUCUUGAUUCUGUGGGUGGUGGUGCAUGGCCGUUCUUAGUUGGUGGAGUGAUUUGUCUGGUUAAUUCCGUUAACGAACGAGACCUUAGCCUGCUAACUAGUCGCUGGGAUCUCUCAUCCCAGUCGGCCUCUUAGAGGGACUUUGUGAUCUAAACA